rnacentral:lncRNA from 1 species
UGACUUCUCUGGGUAUUCCCAAUCGUAGCAUCUGAUGCAGUACACUUUUCCUACUACCUUCACUACCAAUUUAUGGUGAUGGGGGUGAGGGUGAGGGUGAGGGUAAGGAUGAGGAACCGGUGGUGGUGGAGAAGUAUAGUAGUAUGGUGGAGGAUAAGCCUUAGGUGGUGGUGGCGACUUGUAGUAGUAGGGAGCUGGAGUUGGUGAUUUUGUUGGUGGUGGUGGAGAUUUAUAGUAGUAUGGUGCUGGAUGAUAUGGUGAGGGUGGUGGUGGAGACUUGUAAUAGUAUGGUGCUGGAGUUGGUGAUUUUUCGGGUGGUGGAGGAGAUUUGUAGUGGUAUGGUGGAGGAGGAGAGGGUGAUGGUGGAGGUGGGGACUUAUAGUAGUAUGGCUCAGGUGCUGGUGAUUUUUCGGGUGGUGGAGGAGAUUUGUAGUAGUAUGGUGGAGGAGGAGAUGGUGAUGGUGGAGGUGGGGACUUAUAGUAGUAUGGCUCUGGUGCUGGUGAUUUUUUAGGUGGUGGGGGAGAUUGGUAGUAAUAUGGUGGUGGAGGAGAUGGUGAAGGUGGUGGUGGUGAUUUGUAAUAAUAAGGUGGUGGAGGUGAUGGUGAGGGAGGUGGUGGUGAUUUGUAGUAGUAUGGAGGAGGGGGAGAUGGAGAUGGAGGUGGUGGUGACUUGUAAUAGUAAGGUGGUGGUGGAGAAGGAGAGGGUGGUGGAGGAGACUUGUAUUCAUAGUGAGGCUUAGGAGAUGGUGGUGGUGGAGACUUGUAUUCAUAUGGUGGUGGUGGUGAUGGGGAAGGUGGUGGUGGUGACUUGUACUCAUAAUGAGGCUUAGGAGAUGGUGGUGGUGGUGACUUGUAUUCAUAAUGAGGUUUGGGAGAUGGAGGUGGUGGUGACUUGUCUUCAUAAGGUGGUGGUGGAGACGGAGAUGGUGGUGGGGGAGACUUGUAUUCAUAAGGGGGUGGUGGAGAUGGAGAUGGUGGGGGGGGGGACUUGUAUUCAUAAUGAGGCUUGGGAGAUGGAGGCGGUGGGGACUUGUAUUCAUAAGGCGGUGGUGGAGAUGGAGAUGGUGGGGGGGGGGACUUGUAUUCAUAAUGAGGCUUGGGAGAUGGAGGCGGUGGGGACUUGUAUUCAUAAGGCGGUGGUGGAGAUGGAGAUGGUGGGGGGGGGGACUUGUAUUCAUAAUGAGGCUUGGGAGAUGGAGGCGGUGGGGACUUGUAUUCAUAAGGUGGUGGUGGAGAUGGAGAAGGUGGUGGGGGAGACUUGUACUCAUAAUGAGGCUUGGGAGAUGGAGGCGGUGGGGACUUGUAUUCAUAAGGUGGUGGGGGAGAUGGAGAAGGUGGUGGGGGCGACUUGUACUCAUAAUGAGGUUUAGGAGAUGGAGGUGGUGGUGACUUAUAUUCAUAAGGUGGGGGUGGGGAUGGAGAAGGUGGGGGGGGAGACUUGUACUCAUAAUGAGGUUUAGGAGAUGGAGGUGGUGGUGACUUAUACUCAUAAGGUGGUGGAGGAGAAGGAGAUGGUGGUGGUGGUGACUUAUAUUCAUAAGGUGGUGGUGGGGAUGGAGAAGGUGGUGGGGGAGACUUGUACUCAUAAUGAGGUUUAGGAGAUGGAGGUGGUGGUGACUUAUACUCAUAAGGUGGGGGAGGAGAAGGAGAUGGUGGUGGUGGUGACUUAUAUUCAUAAGGUGGUGGUGGGGAUGGAGAUGGAGGUGGAGGAGACUUGUACUCGUAAUGAGGUUUAGGAGAUGGUGGUGGGGGUGACUUGUACUCAUAAGGAGGUGGUGGAGAAGGAGAAGGUGGAGGUGGUGACUUAUAUUCAUAAUGAGGUUUAGGUGAUGGUGGAGGUGGUGAUUUAUACUCAUAAGGAGGUGGUGGAGAAGGAGAAGGUGGAGGUGGAGAAUAGUAAGGAUAAGCAUCUCCUGAUACUGAACUUACACUACUUGAAACAAAAACUACAGCCAACGCUAUGGCCAAGUGAGGCCAAAGACGACCCCACCCGGGGCCGCCGCCGGAACUUCUCAUUUCUU